GCCACUUGCAAACUGUGACUUUAGACAAGGGUCCUGGAUGCAAUGGUGGGAUGCACAGGACUGCAUUGCUCCUCAUGCGCUCAUGUGUGAGUGCUGUUGGUUCCAGUGCAGGGAUGGAACAAUUACUCCUGGGCAGGACAUAUACAUCUAACGGGACUUUUUGACCUAUUCCAGAACAACAUAUGCAAACAUCCACUGAAAACCAACACCCAAGACUGCAUCAAUAAAAGUGCUUGGAAAGGCAAAGCCUCCUCCCAUGAAGAACAGUCCAAAAUAGACUUUGUCCAAAGAUAACAGCUUGUGGUCCUAAAACUGGCUCCAGGAAAACAGGGAGAAUAUGAAGUCUGUCCAGGCAAGUCUAUGAAUUCUCAGCAACGUAUAUUGGCAAGGAAACUGAAAUUGCUAUACCAAGUCAUCAUAUCAAGCUACUGGGAGUAACACUGUCAAUAGUAAAUUGCUAUGUUGCAAGACAGCAGGUAGUAGAGGAAGCUCCUAGCAGGGAGAGAUGGAUGAGAGAUAUAGUAGCUUACACCCCACCGGAAAGGAUUACCAGUGAAGCCCCAAAGGAAUAUAAACAAUUUGAUAAAAUUCGGACAGAGAUUUUAGUAGCACAGGCAGAGGCUUUUUCAGUGAAAUCUUCCCCUCCAAUGCUAAGCACGUCAGGUGAGAGUCUAUGUUGUGCCUCUAGGAGAUGCAGCACAGACCUCAAAGCCAAGAGUCAAAAGGGAAAAUAAUGACUUUACAUUACCUCUGCAUUCUCAAAAUUCUGGGCUACCCCUGCGGAGUCGGCCUGAAUUUCUUCUGUUAUGUUCUGCUGCCAUACACUUAACACAUCCAUCCUAUCCCAGCUUGGCUCUGUCCCUUUUUUGCCCCAAACUGAGCCAGAGUCUGGAAGAGAGAUUACACAUGUUUUACCUGCAAACACAUUUAUCUUGACACAGAUAUAUGCCAUGACAAAUCUUAGUCUAAAUGUUUAGAGUUUGGCAAAGCAAUAAACAUCUGAAGAGUCUAAAAUUGUGUUACAAAAGACUUAAUGAUAGAUAGGGUCUAUUUUGUGGAGGUGGGCUUCAUUUUUUCUGCCUUCUGAAGUCCUUAUUUAACUAUUCACAUAUUCAACAAAAGAAAUCAACAAACCAAACCACUACCACCACUACAAAACAACAACAACAACAAAACACAGCCUAAAGUUUCAAAUUAUUGAGGCAAUUUAUAUAUUCAUUCACUUUCAGAUUUUUCGCCUUAUCAAUCAUGUUAUUUUGCAAAAAAUCUAGAUCUGUGAAUUUUUUUUAGGAAGGAUUCAAACCUGCAUUACAAUGUUUUGUCCAGUGAUAUUAUCAGACAAAAGUAAUGCUAUUGUCUUUGUAAAUUGGAAGUCAUUGAAAUCAUACCUCUGUGUAAAUAUAUAUACGUGUAUAUUUAUACAAAAAUUUUUUAAAAGGAAAUCAGUUUUCUGCCCUCCAACCUUAUUAAAAAAAUUGACAUUUCAAGUGUUGCCGUCAUCUUUCACAUUUUCCAAAUGGCUUGACUCCCAUCCCUAUAACAUUUUUUUCUGAUUAGCCUGCUGUCCUGUUUAAUCAAUAGAGCUACAAAGCCAGCUAUCUCUCACGCUAUGGUUAUCUUUCAUUGUACAGUACAUAAUGCCGCUAGUCCUGCUGAUAACAAAGAGCACACAGACAGAAUGUGGCACUGUGUGUUUGUUAUCUUCCACUCAACUAAACAUACCUCUUUCUCUCUUGGCUCUUAUCAAUGCAAAAAUGCUGGAAACAAGUUACUCCUAGUGUUAACACUGCACGUGCCACGCAGUUGGGAUGGAGAUUGUUUCCUGUCUGCCAAUAUGAUACGGCACUACAAAAGCUUGCCAGUGUGAUGCAUCACCUUGUCAGCCUUUAAGAAGGCAGUGCGAAGUGGCACCAUCAGCAGCCAGCUGUAUGCAGCUAACCAGAAUGAUCUGGAUGCUCUGGGAGCAUAAGGAAGGGAGAUUGACCCCAGAGCUGUUCGUGGUUGACCUCAGACCUGCAAAAAGGAAAGUAAUCCAGUUCUAUUCUUUUUCAUUUCCUACAAAACAUAAAAGCUGAUAAGCUUUGUUCUCUCUCAUGGCAAUAAGAAAACAGUUAAAUUGAACCUUCACUUCAGUUAGAGAACAAUCCAGCGAUUUCCGUUCUUGCAGGUCUGCCACUCACAAAGGAUGAAAGUGCCUUUCUCAGGAAAAAAAAAUAGGACCGUCUUCUACGUGUUCCCUGACACAAAACACCUUGAUGGAUGCGAGUGCAAUCCCUCUGAACUUGAGAAUUAGAACUAAGAUUUUUUAUUGGUACUUGCAAUGUGUAGAGGAGAACCUGAUGUUCCACAUUUAAACAGAGCUUAAAAUUUGCAAGAGACCUGCCAUUUUUCCCUUUGCUCUCAACUGAUCUGUAAAAAAGCUUAAACUGGAGAUGAUUGAAUUUCACAAUAUUUUUCUGUUUUUUGUUUGUUUGUUUUUUUUCCAAAAGAAAAGACUGGCAUGGGCCAAUAA